rnacentral:rRNA from 1 species
AUGGCGUCCAAGGGUCUACUUGUGUUUGCUCUCCUGCUUGCUGCUGCUAUCCUCGUCGCCUCAACUGAACAAACUCAGGCCAAGAAGGAGGAGAAGAAAGCCGGCGUAGAGGGCUACGGCGGCGGCGGCGGCGGCGGCUACCCCGGAGGCGGCGGCGGCGGCUACCCUGGAGGCGGCGGGGGAGGCUACCCAGGCCACGGUGGAGGAGGAGGCGGCGGCUAUCCAGGACACGGUGGAGGAGGUGGCGGAGGCUACCCAGGCCACGGUGGAGGAGGCGGCGGCGGCUACCCGGGCCACGGUGGUGGCGGCGGCGGUGGCUACCCCGGACACGGCGGAGGCGGUGGCGGCAGUGGAUGUCAAUGGGGCUGCUGCGGUAACGGGUACCAUGGCUGCCGCUGCUGUGCGCGCGCGGACGAGGUCCCGGAGCCCAUGUACCGCGCGGAGGUCCGCAACUGA